AACGAACGCUGGCGGCAUGCCUAACACAUGCAAGUCGAACGAGACCUUCGGGUCUAGUGGCGCACGGGUGCGUAACGCGUGGGAACCUGCCCUUAGGUUCGGAAUAACUCCCCGAAAGGGGUGCUAAUACCGGAUAAUGUCUUCGGACCAAAGAUUUAUCGCCUUUGGAUGGGCCCGCGUUGGAUUAGCUAGUUGGUAGGGUAAAAGCCUACCAAGGCGACGAUCCAUAGCUGGUCUGAGAGGAUGAUCAGCCACACUGGGACUGAGACACGGCCCAGACUCCUACGGGAAGCAGCAGUGGGGAAUAUUGGACAAUGGGCGAAAGCCUGAUCCAGCAAGGCCGCGUGAGUGAUGAAGGCCUUAGGGUUGUAAAGCUCUUUUACCCGGGAUGAUAAUGACAGUACCGGGAGAAUAAGCUCCGGCUAACUCCGUG
rnacentral:rRNA from 1 species